rnacentral:rRNA from 1 species
AGCUCCAAUAGCGUAUAUUAAAGUUGUUGCAGUUAAAAAGCUCGUAGUUGGAUUUCGGAAUGGGCCCGUCGGUCCACCGCAAGGUGAGUUACUGACUGGUUUGUUCUUCUUCGCAAAGACUGCACUUGCACUUCAUUGAGUGGGUGUAGGAUUUACGACGUUUACUUUGAAAAAAUUAGAGUGUUCAAAGCAGGCUAUCGCUUGAAUACAUGAGCAUGGAAUAAUGGAAUAGGGCUUUGGUCCUAUUUUGUUGGUUUCUAGGACCGAAGUAAUGAUUAAGAGGGACAAUUGGGGGCAUCCGUAUUUCGUUGUCAGAGGUGAAAUUCUUGGAUUUACGAAAGACGAACAACUGCGAAAGCACUUGCCAAGAGUGUUUUCAUUAAUCAAGAACGAAAGUAGG